GCCUGUGUUGGUCUCAAGUAAGACAUGCUAACACUAAAGAACUAUUUUCAAAGACAAGGAAGGCCCUAGUGAGAUGCAGGCCCCUCGACCUUGGAAUCUCCAGCCUUCAGAACGGCUGAAAGGUGUCCAUCCCACUGGUGAAUACACAAUCAAGAGCUUCAGAGCAGAGCCUUCAUCUCCACUAUGGCCUCCACCACAGCAAGCUUAAGUGCACUUCCAUGGAUC